CUAGCGACUUCAGAGUUUGAUCCUGGCUCAGGACGAACGCUGGCGGCGUGCUUAACACAUGCAAGUCGAACGGAGACUUAUGGAUAGAGGUUUCGGCCAAUUGAAAUAAGUCUUAGUGGCGGACUGGUGAGUAACGCGUGAGGAACCUGCCUUUCAGAGGGGGACAACAGUUGGAAACGACUGCUAAUACCGCAUGACACAUGAUGGGGGCAUCCCCGACAUGUCAAAGAUUUAUCGCUGAAAGAUGGCCUCGCGUCUGAUUAGCUAGUUGGUGGGGUAACGGCCUACCAAGGCGACGAUCAGUAGCCGGACUGAGAGGUUGACCGGCCACAUUGGGACUGAGAUACGGCCCAG
rnacentral:rRNA from 1 species